rnacentral:rRNA from 1 species
CCUACGGGGUGCAGCAGUGAGGAAUAUUGGUCAAUGGGCAAGAGCCUGAACCAGCCAAGUCGCGUGAGGGAGUACUGCCCUAUGGGUUGUAAACCUCUUUUGUCGGGGAGCAAAAGCCGGACGUGUCCGGCUGUGAGAGUAUCCGAAGAAAAAGCAUCGGCUAACUCCGUGCCAGCAGCCGCGGUAAUACGGAGGAUGCGAGCGUUAUCCGGAUUUAUUGGGUUUAAAGGGUGCGCAGGCGGAUUUUUAAGUCAGCGGUCAAAUCGUGGGGCUCAACCCCAUCCAGCCGUUGAAACUGGGGAUCUAGAGUGUGCGAGAGGUAUGCGGAAUGCGUGGUGUAGCGGUGAAAUGCAUAGAUAUCACGCAGAACCCCGAUUGCGAAGGCGACUAUCUGGCACAUAACUGACGCUGAGGAGCGAAAGCGUGGGUAGCAAACAGGAUUAGAUACCCCAGUAGUC